UUCCUGGGACACCUUGUGAGCAGUGAUAGUGUGGCCCCUGACCAAGACAAGAUUGCCAGUGUGCAGAAUUAGCUGGUCCCACAGACAAUCCAACAGAAUAUCACCACAGGUACAACCUCAAGACCCAACAUCCCUGCAGACUACUCUUGAACCAGCAUAUGUGGGGGUUGUGAAGGUUGACUGGGUUCCGUUAUACUGGAAACAAUGACAGGGAGAAGACUCCACCCUUCAAAAGCUGGGACAGUAUGUGGCUUGAGGAAGUAGGCCAUAUUAGGAGGAGAGGCAUCAAGAAUCAACCACAAUCCUGCACUAUAUACAUCAAUGGCCCUGACUGCAGCUGCUGGAGUGUGUAUUGGUCAGAAAAGUGCUGGACCUCAUAUAUCCCGAUCAGACAGGUUUUAUUAAAGAGAACCAUCUGAGAAAUUGUCCAUGGAAACUUUUUGGAAGGGCAAGCACUUUCAAAAACUACUUGGCAGGUGAUUGGAUGAACCUUCUGUCUAUCACCAUCUUACCUUAAGAGGCGGCUGGAUUCACAAAGCUGAUUGGACACAAGUGCAUAAAUUGCCUGACAAGAUGGAUUCUUGCGUGAUGUCAUGAUCUCACAAAUCCAUCUGCCUCACAAGGCUGCCUAGGACAAUAGGCGGGGGACAAAAAAACCUUCUCAACAUGAAGCGGAGAGGAGCUGUGCUCUGUCACUGAGGGAGCUCGUCUGGAUCAGGAGCACCACAUGUGCACAGGAGUUGCAAGCCUGGCCUGGCAUGUUUUUAAGCAAACUGACUUUUAAUGGAGGGAAACUAAGUGUGAGAGGAAUUAACCUGUGGCUGAGUGGAUUGGGAUUGUGCAAUAGACUAAUUAUCUCUGAGGAGCCAAGGCUGUAGGUGGAGGAACAAGGAGGGGAACCCAAUUGCUCCAAGUCAGGAGGCAGCCAACGUGCUUGAAGCAACCAGCAGCUGGAGAGAAAAGAGACCAGGAUCUGAACUCCCAGAUGUCAGAGUGGAGAUGCCAGUCCAAGUCAGAGUGCAGUAUCCCUGGGCCCUUGAGUACAAACCUGAACUUCAAUCCUCAUUUCCUGUAGAUACAUGUGUCCUCAGAAAGAAUAAACUCAU